AGGUUCACCAUAAACAAAGGUAGC
rnacentral:siRNA from 1 species